AAUGCCAGACGUCCAUGCCAGAACAUAGACCUUCAACUACUGUGACCAGAAUGGACUCUGGGAUUACUUCUUAUUCUCCCUGGACAUUGGACAGUUUAAGGCGAAGAUCACCUGAUGAAUCUUUAUCAACUUCUAGAGUUCUUACUGCACCAAAGAAGGAUGAAAUUUUGCCGAGAAGAUUUGCAGCUACCUCAUAUGACGAUUCUAGGACAAGCACAUAUAUGAGUAAAGAUGCUUUUGAUAUUUCAAGGCCCAUGAGUUCGUCUCUCAUGACUAAAAGGGCUCCACCUGUAGGGCAGAUGAAGUCCAUGACACCAGUGGCCUCCUCACUUCCUCGGUCUGGGAGUUUCAUGCAAAAAGUUCAUAUGUGGUGGAUGAUGAAGUCACAGUAGACAGGUUCUUGCAUACAUUGGGUCUUGAAAAAUUUACUGUUAUCUUUAAGGCUGAGGAGGUGGACAUGUAUUCUUUGAAGCGAAUGACUGAAAGAGACCUUAAGGAGAUGGGAAUACCUAUGGGGCCAAGGAAGAAGAUCCUACUCGCAUUGCAACCUCGUUUGAAGCAACCAGUAUGAUGCGAUCAUGUGAAGUGUAUGGGGUUACUUGGAGCAUCACUGCCGAAAAACAUUAGUUGGAGAACUUACCUAGCAGAUCCCAUACUUUUGUAUUUGGCUUCCAAGAUACUCAUUUUGUUGAGCAUUGUUCAUACACUGCGAUACAUUUUUCAUCCUUUUUCCAUGUAACAGAUUCACUUGGGUUGAUUUUGUAUUUUGAUACUCUCCUCUGAUGCA